rnacentral:rRNA from 1 species
AGCGAACGCUGGCGGCAGGCCUAACACAUGCAAGUCGAACGAACCCUUCGGGGUUAGUGGCGGACGGGUGAGUAACACGUGGGAACGUGCCUUUAGGUUCGGAAUAACUCAGGGAAACUUGUGCUAAUACCGAAUGUGCCCUUCGGGGGAAAGAUUUAUCGCCUUUAGAGCGGCCCGCGUCUGGUUAGCUAGUUGGUGAGGUAAUGGCUCACCAAGGCUACGAUCAGUAGCUGGUCUGAGAGGAUGACCAGCCACAUUGGGACUGAGACACGGCCCAAACUCCUACGGGAGGCAGCAGUGGGGAAUCUUGCGCAAUGGGCGAAAGCCUGACGCUGCCAUGCCGCGUGGAUGAUGAAGGUCUUAGGAUUGUAAAAUCCUUUCACCGGUGAAGAUAAUGACUGUAGCCGGAGAAGAAGCCCCGGCUAACUUCGUGCCAGCCGCCGCGGUAAUAC